rnacentral:rRNA from 1 species
GACGAACGCUGGCGGCGUGGAUUAGGCAUGCAAGUCGAACGGUAUCAUCCUUUCGGGGGUGAGAGAGUGGCGAACUGGUGAGUAACACGUAGGUUAUCUACCCUCAAGACGGGGACAACCCAGGGAAACUUGGGCUAAUACCGGAUGUGAGCAACUUUUAGUUGUUUGAAAGGUGGCGUAAGCUGUCGCUUGGGGAUGAGCCUGCGUCCUAUUAGUUAGUUGGUGAGGUAACGGCUCACCUAGGCAAUGAUAGGUAGGCGGCCUUAACGGGUGGUCGCCCACACUGGGAUUGAGAUACGGCCCAGACUCCUACGGGAGGCAGCAGUCGAGAAUAGUCUACAAUGGUCGGAAGACUGAUAGUGCGACGCCGCGUGAACGAUGAAUCCCUUCGGGGUGUAAAGUUCUUUUAUAUGUGAGCAGUGCUUCUUAUAUUAACAGUAGUGGGGAGAGAGAUAUUAGCAUAUGAAUAAGCAACGGCUAACUCCGUGCCAGCAGGCCGACGGUAAACUCG